rfam:Canis lupus familiaris chromosome X, whole genome shotgun sequence.
AGGAGGAACAGCCCCAGUGGCGGGGCCACCUCUGGAGCCCUGGAUUCAGCCCCCGCAGUAACUCCGGAGCUCUCCGUCUGCAGGGCCUGGAGGCUCCGGGGCGGG